CCCUAAAUCGAUCUUCAGCCCCAAAUCUAGAUCAGGCGCACAGCCUACCCACUACCGCGACGCACAUCGCACCCACCACCGCGACGCCACAGUCGCCAACGCCGUCUCCACCGACGCAACUUCGUCGUUCCCUCCUCCAGCUCCCCUGCGAUGCCACAGCUACCACCACCGCCCUUCCGAUCUGCAGUGAUUAUUGCAGCCAUGUCUACUGGAGUAAAGCAUUUCCUUUAUAUGGUCUUGACUAUGAUUCAGUCCUGGAAGCAGUUGAAAACAUGGAGAAGAACAUCCCUGGAUUUUUCUAUGCUGAUCUCUCUCUUUACCUCUUUCAAAGCAAGAAACACUGUCAAGACAGUCCCUUUUAGGCCCAAAUGGUCACCAAUGGCAUGGACCUAGUGCUGAGAUAAGUUAACUUUAUUUUUUCAUUACAUCUGGUUCUAAUGCUUAUCAACAUCUGCAUAUUCCAGUAAGGAUGAUGGACGAUUUCUUGAGGUUAACACAAGCUAAAACAGCAAAAAACUUAGAAACAUGUGGUGUUCUUGCUGGUUCACUGAAGAACAGAGUAUUUCAUAUCACUACCCUUAUAAUUUCAAAAGCAAGAAUCAACAUCAGAUUCAGUAAGGCAUUUAUAUUUUAUAAUUUUUUAUUAUAAAUAUGUGCUGCAACCUUGCAUUCUUUCUGCUAUCAAGUGGAUGCGUGCUUAGUUAUUAGUGUUAUACCCAAAAUAAGUUGAUACAGCAAAUGGGUUAGUGUUGCAAUUGGCUUUGGUUUGGAGAUAAUGGAAGCUUAGGUGUGAGGGAUGCAAAUAGCUAUAUGAGAUUGAGAGAAACUGCAUAAGUGAACAAAGAAGAAAAGGGAGGAAUAUAGGGAGAUAUAGCUACAAGUAAGAGAGGAGUGAAGUAGCAUAUUGGCAGAUGUAUUUAGGGAGUGAUAUAGCUACAAGUUGUUGUAUCUGUUUCUACUCGUGUUGGCAGAUGUAUUUAGGGGACUAUUCAGGGAGAACCAUAAGUAUAAGAAUUCUACCUUACCAAGGAUCCCCAUGUGUAUGGGUUUUCAAAAGCUCAAGAUCCAGAAUUCGACUUUCACGAGGUAUAUAGUAAUCAUGUAUACUGGUACUAAUUUUUCAUAUUGGUGAUUUUUUGCUACUAAAUACAAAAUACAUAAAUUCCAUUCAUGUCGAUUAUUUGCUUCAGCGAAUUAGAAUUGCAUUGUCAGACGUAGCCUAUGUUCCUUGAACUUGCUUAAGUUUUUAGAUGGGUGAUGUACUUCCUAUUAUCCUCUGAAUUGUGUUUGUAGUCAAGCUCGGCAAUGAUUGUUUUUGUUUGCAUUUAAUUUUAGUUUCUUGCUGCUGAGAAUCUGAUUGGCUCGCGCAAUUACUCUUCUAAUGCGGAAGCUUUGAGCUUAGCUUUAAUUUGUAAUAUGUUUGUAACCAGACUGCUAUGAACUGAUGUGAUGGUGUAUCUUUUGGGAAAUUUAGUUUUUGAACCAUAAAUUCAUGGGUGGUCUGUAGGGCCCAGAUCUGAUAAGCAUAAAACCUGCAUCUCCUAGGGGAACAUAUCAGUGAGGUUAAACAACUGAGAUAUGUUCUGCCUAGGAAUUUGUGGAGAAACUGGAGUGGCAAGAGCCACUUGGGUAAUUCUUUGGGAGCUUAAAAGGAAAAUUGCAGAAGUGAAGCUUAUGAAGGCUGAUCUGUAAGGUCCUAAAUGGCAUAAGGCACCCCAAUGAUGGGCUGCUUGGCCUGGCAGUCUUGAGGGGUGAGCAAGCAGGCUGGGGGGAACAAGCCUGUGAGGCCUAUAGGGCUGAGGCUUGUUCUGCCUUUAGUCAGGGAUAUUAUGGAUGGUUGAGGAGAGGCCUAUGAGGCAGAUUUGCUGAGGCUUCCCUCUGUGGUCCCCCAAUGAUGGAUGUGCAAUCCUAAGGGGUGAACUAGGAUACUUUGAUGUCUUAUGGGAGGCUGGAUCUAUGAGGCUUAUAGCUGAGAUCCAUUCUCCCCUUGGCCCGAUGAUGGACUGCUAGCUGGACAGUUUCUGAGGGCUACAGCAUGUUGAGGGGACUGACAGUGGAAACACUGGGCAGCUUUUGUUUGGUGGAUCUACAGUUGUGUAGAGAUGAAGCCAUUUUUGCAGGUAGGCUUGGGCAGGAGUGAAGAUGAAGACCUAGCUAUAUGUGCUAUGUUUGUAGGCUAGGGGGCUCCUUUUAAAGGAGCUCCUUAGUGGGCUUAGCCUUGAUGUCCCGUUUUGGCUUGUGCUAAGAAUGGGGGGUCUGGGUGGGCUCCAAGUAUAGCAUACACCUGGAGUUGGGACAGUGUUGGUCAUGCUACAAUCAGGAAGGUUAAGAAUGAAUUGAUAGAUAGAUAUUGCAUGUCUCAACUUACAAUAUAACGAAUAAUGUUUUGGAGUGAGUUUACUUGCUAAUGUAUCACAACUGUAGAAUCAUUUUUAAAGUUGGGGAUUUUUUUAAAAUGUUUUUAUGUAUGGUUUGCUGAAUUGUUUAUGGGUUUUUCUUCUGUGGAUUUUGAGAAUGCUGAGGCUGAUGAUUUGGGUCUUGCUAAUUGGUUUGAUCAGUUCAAAAGAAAUCCAGAUUUCAAGUGAUGAAGCCAUAGAAACUACAAAGUUGCUUGCCGGGAAAGAAGGGUUACAUAUUGCAGAUCGCAGAUUCGCAGAGCUCAUCAGUCGUCGUCGCUCUGCUUCCCCCGUCUCCCGCCUCCGUUCGUCGAAUCGUCGCUUCUCAGGCUCUCUACCGGCUCACCGCCUUACCGCUCAGCAGGACAGAAGCCAUGAACACCGCCUCAACGCCUCUACCCUAUCGUCUUCUGACUUA